GAUUUUUUAGUAUAAUUUUUAAGUAUUUUUAAUUUCCAAUUAAAAGGUUAUAAAGUUA
rnacentral:tRNA from 1 species